GGAAUCCCGUCCUGUCAUCCCUGAUCGAAAGCUACUUACAAGGCUUGUUUCGAUCAGAGAAGAAGCCAGGAACAUGAUGGGCCGCAGAAUACUAGAUGAAAGAUAUAAUUGUGGUCUCUCUACACUACCUGAAUCAGAGGUACGUGACACGAUAAAAGAAGAAUGAAAGGCCUUCUGGAGUAUCAGGAAGGGUCAGCUACUCUGUUCUAUAGACUGAAUCUGCUUAUAUGAACCUCGUGAGCUAGGCGGUGCAUCAGUUUAAGAUCUCCAGGCUAGCAUUGGAAUAUACAAAAGAUGUGUUUCGAUUCACCUAAUAUCUAAUUCACUAGAAAGUCAGGUAUUGGGUGGCAUAUAUAAAGGAUAUACUUCUGGAAUCACAGCACAACAUCUAGAAUGGAUCUCGCGCUCUCUCACACACAAAAAAAAAACAAAAACUGAGCAUAGAGAAAAGAAUCAUGCACAGCAUUCUUGCAUUUAUUUAUCUUAAAGUGUGCUGAUCAACUUGCAUGCUAUUUCUAUAACUAAUAGGUAACUAGUAUUUCUCCAGUUAUUUAUAUGAUGGGGUGUAGAACUUGGAAAACAAGAAAUGAUUUGCAUCUGAGGGAGAGAAUUCACAAAGUUUAGGAUGACAGAUGAAAAAACAUCUAGUUCUUCACCUCUCUAAGCUAGAAAAAGCUCUUCAUGGUAAUAUAUCACAUAACAACAUUAAUGAUAUCAGACAUCCUCUUGAAAUUCUGCAGUCUAUAUUUCAUAGGGCGGAUGCUGAACUUUUCAACUCUUGAUGUCAACACAGGCUCAUCAGAAUACACUGCAAAUUCUUGAAGAAAAUGCAUUCUAGUUCCCUCCACAGCAGACCAGUUCUGCAAGCUGGUUCCUCCUCAUCACAAGUUUCUAAUAUACAAGGGAGGUGCCAUUUUCCAUGUACAUAGAUCAUCCUUAUUCACCAGCAAAUGCCACAAAUUGCCAUCCUAAGAAAAUCAAUUACCUUAGCUGAAUCCGCCUUGCUGAAAACAAUAGGAUGUUUUACUAAAUCGACCCUUGAUAGUCUUCAUAACAAUGAGAAUUUCUGUUGAUGUAGUAAUCCUAAGGCAACUGAAUAUGGCCACACUGAGAAAGAGCAUAGGUAUCAUUUUUUUCUGUAGCCGCCACUGACAGUUACCGAGGGUGAGGUCCACUCUUGACACAUGGGAAGUUGGCCACUUUCGGCUAUUUUGGCCAAUGCACUGCACACUUUCUAUCUGUCUCUUUAUACAUAUUAUGCCUUUUUCGUUGCUGCUCGGAAUAAGAUAAAGAGAUAUAUCUCUUAAAAUUAAAUUUCUAACAUGCUCUUGGUAAAACUGAUAGAACUACGUUAAAACAAGUUGAAAGCCUCACUAUAGCUUGGAGUUGUCGUUGUAAUCUGAUCUAUAUACAUCUCUCUGGUGUUUUAAUAUUUUAGGAUGGUGAAAGAAAUGGAGUAUAUUAAAGGGUGAUGAGCUGCUGGAAGAUUUUGUGUUGAUGCAUAAUCUUGCAAUGAUAAAGUUGAUUUAGGAUUGGAAUGCUUGUUGAGUUGUAUUGAAUCAGUAUCAAAUAGCAAUGAUGACUGAAAUUGCAAAUUGUGGCAAGAGCCAUGUGUGCUGUUGGACCUACUGUUGAUCCACACUUCAUAAAGACCCUUCUAAUGAUUCAUGUGUUGGGGGUUGUGGGCCACUCCAAACAUGGUUUGUGGGAGCACUUUGGUUGAAAGAGCUCGCCCCGUUUACACCACCGGGCGAAGGGCCGUACCAGUUUCUUGUAAUGCUUUCGUGUUUCGUCUCGUGUUUGUAUUCUCCUUAUUGUAUGUUGUGUUUGGGGAAGAUCUGAUGCUUCAAUCUGUUAGGGGUCAGCUUCUUUGCUCUUGUUGGAGCAAAAGGUGUAGCACAUGGUGUAGCAGAUAAAGAAUAAAAGAGAGAGCACAUGCUUGGUUAGUCAUUAAAUAUGAUUAAGAGAGUGUAUGAUUGAGCUUUGAAAUAAAUUGUUUUUGGUAA